rnacentral:rRNA from 1 species
UACGGAGGAUGCGAGCGUUAUCCGGAUUCAUUGGGUUUAAAGGGUGCGUAGGCGGACGCUUAAGUCAGCGGUAAAAUUGCGGGGCUCAACCUCGUCGAGCCGUUGAAACUGGGUGUCUUGAGUGGGCGAGAAGUACGCGGAAUGCGUGGUGUAGCGGUGAAAUGCAUAGAUAUCACGCAGAACUCCGAUUGCGAAGGCAGCGUACCGGCGCCCAACUGACGCUGAAGCACGAAGGCGUGGGUAUCGAACAGG